rnacentral:tRNA from 1 species
UAGGUGGAUGCUCUCUGGUUUGGGCACUUAGCUGUUAACUAAGAUUUUGGGGGAUCGAGGCCCCCCUACCUAU